UACGAAGGGGGCUAGCGUUGCUCGGAAUCAUUGGGCGUAAAGCGCACGUAGGCGGCUUCGCAAGUCGGAUGUGAAAUCCCAUGGCUCAACCAUGGACGUGCAUUCGAAACUGCGAAGCUUGAGUAUGGAAGAGGGUCGCGGAAUUCCCGGUGUAGAGGUGAAAUUCGUAGAUAUCGGGAGGAACACCAGUGGCGAAGGCGGCGACCUGGGCCAAUACUGACGCUGAGGUGCGAAAGCGUGGGGAGCAAACAGG
rnacentral:rRNA from 1 species